GAUGAAGAACGUAGCGAAAUGCGAUAAGUAAUGCGAAUUGCAGAAUUCCGUGAGUCAUCGAAUCUUUGAACGCACAUUGCGCCCGCCAGUAUUCUGGCGAGCAUGCCUGUUCGAGCGUCAUUUCAACCAUCAAGCCCCAGGCUUGUGUUGGAGCCCUGCGGCUGCCGCAGCCUCCCAAAACCAGUGGCGGGCUCGCUAUCACACCGAGUGCAGUAGUUUACUCUUCGCUCAGGGCGUGUGGCGGGUGCUAGCCGUGAAACCCCCAACUUCUCAAGGUUGACCUCGGAUCAGGUAGGAAUACCCGCUGAACUUAAGCAUAUCAAUAAGCGGAGGA
rnacentral:misc_RNA from 1 species